GAAAGGGCGCGAAAAGGGCGAUUCGAGAACGGGAGCAUCUGCGAGGCUGGUUUUUGUUUCCUCCGGAACUAGCGUUUUUUAUUUAUCCUCCCAAAUAGCAAGGAAGAAGAGAGCGAUGGCUCCGAAUAGUGUGUCAGGUCCUCGUCCUUUUCUAUGUCAUGACCAUUCUUGAGAGUUUCUGGGGUGGUUGAUUCAAGCGAUCGUCCAGGAGGCGAUUCUAUUGUACAAUCGCAGAAGAAAUUCAGUAAGAAUUUGAACGUCGACGAGACGAUAGCCAUCAAUUCUCACGUCCGAUCUCCGUGUUUGUUCAAUCCACUGUCUGCUGGCCUUGUUCUGUGGGAUUUGAUGGGACCGGCAAAAGAAAAAGAAAAAGAAAAAAGAAACAACAGGAAAACCAUCCGGCCAUAGCCAAACCAUUUGCUGAAUCUCUUUUCUUCUUCUGAACAUUCAGUCCUGUCGUCUUCAGAUCAGAGGUCCUUUUUUAUCCGAUAACUUCUCGCAAUUGCCCAAGUUCGCCUUUCCAAACAUGGAGUUCAUCAAUUAGGAUAUGCUUGAGAAGCCGGUGGGGACCAAACAUCAGCGUCGCCGAUUUUGUUCCCAAGCAGAGCGUCAACCGAAAUCGGCCACGAGGAAAGGACCAAGUCAGAAACAGCACACCAUUAUUACUCCGAACAGAAGGAAAAUGUUGGCCGGAGAAAGACAAGAACGUAGAAUUUCAUCCGAGGCGACGCAGGAAUUCAACUUCUUCCGUGUACACAGAAAGACGCCAUAAGUUAUCCAGGGAGGAGAGGUCCAGAGGUUCUCUUCCGUAGGUGAUGUCCUUCCUGACGCCUCACAGUCUUCCAAAGUAGAAUUAAUUUGUUGCUGCUUCGCAGUUGGGCUGUGUUCGGUGUUGGCAUUGCGCUAUAUGACAGUUCAAGAGGAGGUGGCCGGGCCGGCUGGACAUUAUUCCGCCGACAUUUGACGAAGAACACAUCUAUUUGAAACAACUGUUUUCCUCGGCGUGAUCUGAAUUAGAGAUGUCAAUGGAUCUAAUUCACAUUGGAUGUCCAGCAGACUUGUUUUA